CCCGUCUUUAAACCGAGUCUGCCACUCACUGAAUCCCACAGUGGACUGCGACAUUUUCCUUUUCACCGCCGCCUUGCAAUCAUAGUACCUGUUUAAAAACGCAUUCGUUAAUUUAUUAAGUACAUAAGAAAUUGACAAAAAGUUAACAAUAAUAUUGUCUUAUUAAAAAUAUGAUGGCUUGCUUCCACUAUUAGGUUAGCCUCGACACUGACUGGG